rnacentral:rRNA from 1 species
AUGACCUCGGAUCACGUAGAGAGCGAUCC